rnacentral:lncRNA from 1 species
AUGGUGAUGAGUCGGCUGAAAUAAUGGCAGAUUUGGCACUGUAUCGGUCUAAGGAGGGAUAUUUUGGAAAACCAUACGUUGUAAAAUCAAUUGAAAAACUAAAGUUAAUCAUAUGGUGAAAAGGUACAUGUUUCGGAACAAAAUUAUCUAAAAUAGUAGUUAAUAUAUUAUUAAGCAUGCUUUAAUCCAGUGCAGCGACUAAAAGAAGUUUCGGUACUUAUGGUUUUUUUAUCCACUUUAAAAGAAACCGGCUCACUGCUGAAAGGGCUCGUAAGGUAACUUUUAUUGCUCACAAUUUAAAAUGGUUAGACGUAGACCAAUUCAUGACUGAGCUGGCCACUCGUGAAAAUCAAAAUUCCCCAACUCAUCAUCAAUACAUUGAAAUGCAGAUGGUAGAUGACUAGGAUGAGCUAAUGAUAUAAAUAGAUUCUGAAUCUGAGGUCUCAUCUUUUAUCAUACCACAUCGAUUAUUUGCUGUUAUGAAGAAAAUUUCAUUUUUUUAUCAAAGAAAUUUUGUGUUUUCUGUUGUUUUUGUAUUAUUUUAUAUACAAAGAACACUGUUGUUUCGUCUCAUAAUUUUGUAUAUAAGAUCAUGAUUUUUAAAACCCUAUUUUUAAUCUUCAACAAUAUUCUUAAGUGCGUCAUGGGGUUCAUUCUCAGAAAAUUCUCCAUAUCGAGAAUAUUCUCCGAUUUUUCAUUCUCGAGAAUUUUUGCAACACUAGUCUAGACAUGAUUCCAUUCAGGCCACUUCAGUUUAGAAUGCUAUGUAUUUGCAAGCAGUCGCGACAGCAUCAUAUUUAGUAAUUGCUUUGAAUGGUAAAAAGAAAAGAAGUAAACCGCGGUGGUGGAAUAGAGAGCUAUAUGUUGGUAGUCAAGAGACGCAGAAUAAUUUCUAUAUAAAAUUGAUUACAGACGAUCAAGCUUUAUUUCGAAAUUUCACACGAAUGAGUUAAGAUGAUUUUGAGUACUUGAGAAAGUGUGACCAAAAAUUAAAAAAAGAUGAUACCGAAUCAUACCACCGCGUGAGUCCCUUAUGUAUUUGAAUAACGGGGAAAACAAAAGACAUCUUCAGAGCUAUGGUCAAAUGUUUAAGUACCAUUUAUAAAGAAAGUGAUCCCAUUUUUGUGUUAAAAAUUUUUGAAAAAAUUCCUUGUUAUUUUUUGGAAGCUUGGUCGUAGGUUGAAUUUUGAAUUUAAUAAAGUUAUAAAAAGGUUAAAAACAUCAGAACAGCACAUGGGGUUUUCACAAAAACACAUUUAACAUUUUUAAUCAUGAUAGGGUUCAAAGACCCACCAUCAUAAGUUGAGGCAACUCGCCUCAACGACAUUCGAAUGCAAACCAUUUCCCUUUUUCACUAGAAGAUGAACCGCCCUUUAAUUUUAGUGUUUUCCUCUCACAGUGAAAUUCACAACGUAAAUUAUUGAUUUUAUUUUUUAUAUCACUUACAGUACAAUCAUAUUUAUUUGAUAACUGCUUCAACUUAUAAAUUUUUAUCUUAUUGCCUUUAUAAAAACUAAUUUUCUUAUUCCAUAUCUCAGGUUAGUUAUGAGAGCCUUUAAUAAAUAAUAUUGUUUUUUCAAUAUUCCACUCCAUGUCGCACCGAUCCGUUGACUGCUGGAUAGCGGCGACACUGUUCAACGCGUUGAAAUUUGCCGAAGCAACAACAGUCAACAUGUGGCAUGCGGGAAGGCGACUUGAUUCGUGUCGCUUUCUGUCUCCAUGGAAAGACUGUAUAGCAUGGGAGAGAUUAAAUAUCCAGCAAACGACGGCACUGUUGCCAGAUUCCUUUUAGAGGGAAUUUUAAAAAAUUUUAGUCUAAUGCAAGUUUGGUUUUAAAUUUGACAGUUCUGUUUUCUCAACUCAAAAAUCUUAACCGUACUUUUACAAGUGAUUAGGAUGACUAUUUUAUUUACAUGUAAAUAUUGAAAGAAAUAUUGUACUGUGUCAUAAUUUAAAACUCAUUAUGUUGCAGUCUUUUCCAGUUGAUAAAAUUGCAAUUCAAAAACUUUUAGGUAGGUACGUGUAACUUCCACAUUAUUAUUUAUUUAAGUAUUAAGGUUGAUGUUGAUCACAAAAAUUUAGAUUUCAAAGAUAGUUGUAUGUAGGUAGAUAUACUAAUAGAGUAAUACUAGAUAAUACAGUAGAUACAAAGUAAGCUCUAAGUAGUAUAACGCCCAUAUAAUCACUUAUGUUGUUUUUGUAGAUUUUACUGUAUGGAUGGCACAGGAAGAGAACAAGAGUACAACAUGAAACAUCUUAUUAUGAAUGUAUGUGAUCUUCAAAAAAUUAUUCUACAAAACAAGAUAGAGAAAGAGCUUUAAAAUCCCAAAGAUCCUGCAAAAUGUUUGUAAUGUCGUGUACUAGUUGAAUAAUAGUAUCUAAAAAUAUUGACACUGAUUGUUGUGCAGUAACAUAUCUUAAAACACAUUAUGGGCAUGAAGAUGAUAUAGAGCACUUACAUAUUAUACCAAAAUCAGAUAAAUACAUCUUCAAAGUUUAUGUUGAGAGUUUCUUCAAAAAUUACACUUCAGACUGUUCAGGAUAGCAUAAGAGGCGAAUUAAAAAGGAUUGAUUUACUUACAAGAAAAGAUAUCACAAACAUUAAACACUCUUAUGGCAUUUAUUUGAAAGAUGGAUACCUAUAUGUACUAAGAUGACGCAACCAGUGUUCAUUUUUGGGUGGAAUGCUUACAAGCUAUGUCAUGUCCAAUAUUAUUUUACAAACAACAGGGCAUACUAAUGGAUAUUCAUUCUGAAUUUCACAUUUAUGAUUUUUGUCUUAUUUUCCUUAAUACUGUGCCAAAAGGAAAUGUUAAUUAAGUUUGGUAAAUCCUUUAUUGCAAUCGAUGGAACUCAUGGGCUCAAUUCCUAUGACUUUACAACAUUUAUGAGCUUACAACAGUAUUAGUAAAAGAUGAAUUUGGAAAUGGAUUUUGUACUGCUUUCUUAUUUUCAAAUAGAAAAGAUAUCUACUUUUAUUUACCAUUUUUUUUAAUACAUAAAUAUGUGUGUUGGUAUUAUAUGUACAGUGGAGUGUUUUCAUAUCAGACAUAAGUGACACCUUCUACAAUGCCUGGUCAAAUGUAAUGGGUUCUGUUCCUAAUAUACUGUUAAGUGCCUGGCACAUAGAUAGGGCAUGGCAAGUAAAUCUUAAUAAAAUAUCUGAUUCUAAAAAAAACCUAUGUAGGUUUACAAGAUGUAUUAAUGAUGUUUUAGAGAGUAUUAAUAGCUUUUUGGGUAGACUUCUAAAUAAUGCAAAUACUAUAAUUUUAGUAAGUAUUUCCAAUAGAACUACUGCAAUAACAUCCAACAAUGGGCCUAUUGUUAUAGGAAGAGGUUGUGGAAUUAAUACCAAUAUGGCCAUUUAAAAUAUUCAUAAAAUUUUGGAUAAAAGAGUAUCCAUCAAUUGUUAUCAGUUAAGGUUAAAACUUGGCACGAAUGGAGAGCUAUACCUUAAUAUAUAUUAUAUCUCACUCAUAUCGUUCACUAUAACAGUAAUGAGUGAGCGAUAUGAGAUAUAACAUAUAUUAUAGUAUAACUCUCUGCGCAUGACCAGAUUAACACACGGUCGGUGCCCAUCUCGAACAAGCUCCACUUGGCUGGUACCACAUACUUAAAUCAUGUAUGUAGUUACACAGUACUACUGACACAACUUAUACGUCGUCAGUACCUUUGGUAAAACCUUCAUCACGCUACCCAUGCGUCAUGGCCACCGAACGUGUUAAAGCUUGUUAGUGUAGGGGAGCUAUACUAAAAUAAAUAUUAUAUCUUAUAUAUUACCUUAUGUAUCCAUAAUAUAUCUUAUGGAGCCUGAAGACCAAAACAAAAAUUUUCAAUUGGGCAGUUAAUGUGUUAAUUUAGGUACUGUCAUGUUUUAUGUAUUUCUUAGCACUAACACAUUUGUAGAUAGCAAAUCAUAUUUGUUAUUAUUAUCUUAUUUAAAUUGUAUACAUUUAAGUUUUGAUUUAAUGAAAUAAACCUUUUAAUCAAAAAAAUGUUGUUUAGUUGUGUACACCCAGCAAUAUCCUGAUGUAAUGCAGACGCCAAUUGAAUAUGAUGUAAAUACAAAUCAUAAAGAUGUCUUUCUAUGGUUAAAAUUUCACAGCCUAAAGACGUCAUUUAUGUAACUUCUUAAGACGUCACAAAAUGACCGCAAUAAGAAAAUAGAAUUAAUAACUCGCCUCGCCCCCAGGUAAAGUAAAGGUGCUAGGCCACUAAGAAUGUUUUUUUUUUUUCAUUUUUAUUUAUUUUGAGACUUUAGCGCUUAGCUAUUUAGCCAGAUACAUGAUGAGAAUUAAUACUAUUAUAAUACAUGUUAAAACUAAUACAAAUUACUAGUACAUAUUUUAUUAAUAUUCUAAAUAAUUAUAACCACUAAACCACUAAAAAAGUGUCAUCUAUAAUCUAUACUAUCAAACACAUUUUCACUUUUGAAA